rnacentral:rRNA from 1 species
UCGCGGCCUAUCAGCUUGUUGGUGAGGUAACGGCUCACCAAGGCGACGACGGGUAGCCGGCCUGAGAGGGUGACCGGCCACACUGGGACUGAGACACGGCCCAGACUCCUACGGGAGGCAGCAGUGGGGAAUAUUGCACAAUGGGCGAAAGCCUGAUGCAGCAACGCCGCGUGAGGGACGACGGCCUUCGGGUUGUAAACCUCUUUUAGCAGGGAAGAAGCGAAAGUGACGGUACCUGCAGAAAAAGCACCGGCUAACUACGUGCCAGCAGCCGCGGUAAUACGUAGGGUGCAAGCAUUGUCCGGAAUUAUUGGGCGUAAAGAGCUCGUAGGCGGUUUGUCGCGUCUGCUGUGAAAAUCCGAGGCUCAACCUCGGACCUGCAGUGGGUACGGGCAAACUAGAGUGCGGUAGGGGAGAUGGGAAUUCCUGGUGUAGCGGUGGAAUGCGCAGAUAUCAGGAGGAACACCGAUGGCGAAGGCACAUCUCUGGGCCGUAACUGACGCUGAGGAGCGAAAGCGUGGGGAGCGAACAGGAUUAGAUACCCUGGUAGUCCACGCCGUAAACGGUGGGUGCUAGUUGUGGGUUCCAUUCCACGGAAUCCGUGACGAAGUUAACACAUUAAGCACCCCGCCUGGGGAGUACGG